UAGGAGGAGGAGAGGGAGGUCCCCAGGCUGGACAGGCUGGAUGGAGAACAGCAGCAGCAACUGCCCAGGGAGGCUCUGCGGCCUACAACAGGUGUCCUUGGAGUCAGGCAAGUUCAUGUGCCCCUGUGGAACAGAGGAUGCCCAGGACAGAGUCAGACGGCGAGCACAGAAGGAUCCCCUCCACCUCCGAACUGCACCCUCACAGGCUCCAGUGUGAUGGAUCAGUUGUAAAGAUCUCCCUGCUGGGGUCACAGGAGGCUGGAUGCCCUCGCAAGGAGACAGCAACAGAACUCAGUGCCUGGACAAUCUCGCCUCACCCUCUCAGCCACAGGCUUAGGGUUGCUUGUAGGACAGUUCCAACAGGGAUCAGAACAACUGUGGCUCCGAGUACCAGAUGAUCACACUGGAUCACACUGGAUUAGAGUGGACCCUCAGUCCAACGACUAGUGUCCUUAUAAGAAGGCUACGUGAAGACACAGGGACGGACACACACACACAGAGGGAGAAUGCCAUGUGAAGACAGAGGCAGAGACUGGAUUGAACACCAAGGCUUGCUGGCAACCACCAGAAGCUUGAAAAGAGGCAUGUGAUAGAUUCUUCCCCCAGGAGCUUUCUGAGGGAGAAUGGUGCUACUGACGCUAACAUUUUGGCCUUCAGGCCUAAAGAACUAUAAGAGGAUAAAUUUCUGUUGUUUUUGGUCACCCUGUGUGUAGUAAUCUGUUAUAGCACUCCUAGGAAACUAACACAAUCCUGAAAACAUGCUAAGAGAAAGAAGCCAGUCAAAAAGGACCACAUAUUAUGAUUUAUUUGAAAUGUCCAGAAUAGGCAAAUCCACCAAGACAGAAAAUAGAUAGUGGUUGCCUGGGGCCAGGGGGUGGUGGGUCUGGGGAGUGAUAACCAAUGGCAUGGGGUUUCUUCUGGGGUAAUGAAAAUAUUUUAAAAUUGAUGGUGGUGAUAGAGACACAACUCUGUGAAUAUCCUAAAAGCCAAUAAUUUAUAAUAAAAACAUAGGAUAAAUGAAUUAAAGUACAGGCAGUCCUGAGAACAUCUUUAGGUCAAAUUUUUAUGUAACUCAGAUCCCUGAUGAACAGCGCAUACGUGGUAAU